GACGAACCGUGCGAACGUUUGUUCGGAAUCACUGGGCUUAAAGGGCGCGUAGGCGGGCCACCCAGUCCGGGGUGAAAUCUUUCGGCUCAACCGGAAAAGGGCCUUGGAUACUGGUGGUCUGGAGGAAGGUAGGGGCAUGCGGAACUUCCGGUGGAGCGGUGAAAUGCGUUGAUAUCGGAAGGAACGCCGGUGGCGAAAGCGGCGUGCUGGACCUUUGCUGACGCUGAUGCGCGAAAGCCAGGGGA
rnacentral:rRNA from 1 species